GCAAAGCACAAACAAGGUGCUGCAUGGCUGUGCAGCUCGUGCCGUAGGUGUUGGUUAAGUCCCGCAACGAGCGCAACCCCUAUCUUUAGUUGCCAACAGGUUAUGCUGGGGACUCUAGAGAGACUGCCUACGCAAGUAGUGAGGAAGGUGGGGAUGACGUCAAGUCAUCAUGGCCCUUACGACCAGGGCUACACACGUGCUACAAUGGCCGCUACAAUGUGCAGCAACAUGGUGACAUGAAGCUAAUCACAAAAAAGCGGUCUCAGUUCAGAUUGGAGUCUGCAACUCGACUCCAUGAAGCUGGAUUUACUAGUAAUCGAAGAUCAGCAAUGCUUCGGUGAAUACGUUCCCGGGCCUUGUACACACCGCCCGUCAAGCCAUGGAAGAGGGGAGUACCUAAAGUCUGAUAACCGUAAGGAGUCGCCUAGGGUAAUACUCUUGACUGGGGCUAAGUCGUAACAAGG
rnacentral:rRNA from 1 species